rnacentral:rRNA from 1 species
UGGGGAAUAUUGCACAAUGGGCGAAAGCCUGACGCAGCAACGCCGCGUGAACGAUUAAGCCCUUCGGGGUGUAAAGUUCUGUCAGUGGGGACGAAACUUGACGGUACCCACAGAGGAAGCACCGGCUAACUCCGUGCCAGCAGCCGCGGUAAUACGGAGGGUGCAAGCGUUGUCCGGAAUCAUUGGGCGUAAAGAGUUCGUAGGUGGUAUGUUAAGUCUGGUGUUAAAGCCCGAAGCUCAACUUCGGUUCGGCACUGGAUACUGGCAAACUUGAAUGUGGUAGAGGUAAAGGGAAUUCCUGGUGUAGCGGUGAAAUGCGUAGAUAUCACGAAGAACUCCUAUUGCGAAGGCAGCUUACUAAGCUAUAACUGACAUUGAUGCUCGAAAGUGUGGGUAUCAAACA